AUUGAACGCUGGCGGCAGGCCUAACACAUGCAAGUCGAGCGAGCGGCGGACGGGUGAGUAAGGUCUGGGAAACUACCUGAUGGAGGGGGAUAACUACUGGAAACGGUAGCUAAUACCGCAUACCAUCAGAUGUGCCCGGUUGGGAUUAGCUAGUAGGUGGGGUAACGGCUCACCUAGGCGACGAUCCCUAGCUGGUAUGAGAGGAUGACCAGCCAAACUGGAAUUGAGACACGGUCCAGACUCCACCGGGAGGCAGCAGUGGGGAAUAUUGCACAAUGGGCGCAAGCCUGAUGCAGCCAUGCCGCGUGUGUGAAGAAGGCCUUCGGGUUGUAAAGCACUUUCAGCGGGGAGGCGUUACCCGAAGAAGAAGCACCGGCUAACUCCGUGCCAGCAGCCGCGGUAAUAC
rnacentral:rRNA from 1 species